GCAGUGGUGGCUCGGUAGAAUUCUCACCUUUCAUGUGAGAGGUCUGGGUUUGAUUCCUGGCCAGUGCA
rnacentral:tRNA from 1 species